UACGCAGGGAGCUAGCGCUGCUCGGAAUUACUGGGCGUAAAGCGCGCGGAGGCGGACCAGUUAGUUGUGGGUGAAAUCCCGGGGCUCAACCCCGGAACUGCCUUCAAUACUGUCGGUCUAGAGUCCGAGAGAGGUGAGUGGAAUUCCCAGUGUAGAGGUGAAAUCCGUAGAUAUUGGGAAGAACACCAGUGGCGAAGGCGGCUCCCUGGCUCGUUUCUGCCGCUGAGGCGUGAAAGCGUGGGGAGCAAACAGG
rnacentral:rRNA from 1 species